UACGGAGGGGGCUAGCGUUUGUUCGGAAUUACUGGGCGUAAAGCGCACGUAGGCGGCUUUGUAAGUUAGAGGUGAAAGCCCGGGGCUCAACUCCGGAAUUGCCUUUAAGACUGCAUCGCUAGAAUUGUGGAGAGGUAAGUGGAAUUCCGAGUGUAGAGGUGAAAUUCGUAGAUAUUCGGAAGAACACCAGUGGCGAAGGCGACUACCUGGCCGUUGAUUGACGCUCAUGUGCGAAAGCGUGGGGAGCAAACAGGG
rnacentral:rRNA from 1 species